UACAGAGGGGGCAAGCGUUGUUCGGAAUUACUGGGCGUAAAGGGCGCGUAGGCGGCCUGCUAAGUCGAACGUGAAAUCCCUGGGCUCAACCCAGGAACUGCGUCCGAUACUGGUUGGCUUGAAUCCGGGAGAGGGAUGUGGAAUUCCAGGUGUAGCGGUGAAAUGCGUAGAUAUCUGGAGGAACACCGGUGGCGAAGGCGACAUCCUGGACCGGUAUUGACGCGUGAACAGCGAAAG
rnacentral:rRNA from 1 species